rnacentral:rRNA from 1 species
AUUGAACGCUGGCGGCAUGCUUUACACAUGCAAGUCGAACGGUAACAGGCCUUCGGGUGCUGACGAGUGGCGAACGGGUGAGUAAUGCAUCGGAACGUGCCCAGAGGUGGGGGAUAACGCAGCGAAAGCUGUGCUAAUAUCGCAUGUGAUCUGAGGAUGAAAGCGGGGGACCAGGCAGCAAUGUUUGGCCUCGCGCCUUUGGAGCGGCCGAUGUCAGAUUAGGUAGUUGGUGGGGUAAAGGCCCACCAAGCCGACGAUCUGUAGCUGGUCUGAGAGGACGGGCAGGCACAAUGGAAGUGAGACAAGGGCCAGACUCCUAAGGGAGGGAGGAGGGGGGAAUAUUGGACAAAGGGGGAAAGCCGGGUCCAGCCAUGGCGGGGGGGGGAAGAAGGGCCUGGGAGUGGAAAGCACUUUUAGUUGGGAGGAAAGGGAGUAAGGUAAAACCUUGGGGUUGGGACGGGACCAAAAGAAUAAGCACCGGCUAAAUUCGGG